GAGCACGUAGGUGGGUUUGUAAGUCAGAUGCGAAAGCCUUCUGUUCAACGAAAGAAUUGCAUCUGAAACUGCGAGUCUUGAGUAUAGGAGGGGAGAAUGGAACUUCUGGUGGAGCGGUGAAAUGCGUAGAUAUCAGAAGGAACGCCGGCGGCGAAAGCGAUUCUCUGGCCUAUUACUGACACUCAGUGUGCGAAAGCUAGGGGAGCAAACGGGAUUAGAUACCCCGGUAGUCCUAGCCGUAAGCGAUGGGCACUAAGUAGAGGGGUU
rnacentral:rRNA from 1 species